AUGGAGAAAGAGAGCCUCAAAAGGACCCACUGUGGAAAGUUUUCCAUUACCACCCAUGUAAAAACACCGCACCAAGAUUCACCUCUCAGCACUGGAUUACAGAGUAACAAAUGUGAGGACAGUGGCAGUAAGAGUCAGAUCUCCCAGAGAUUCUGCAGCAAAGAACAACCAAAAGCUUGUUCAACAUCAAAGUCGACAUGUUCCCAAAGAGUAAACUCAGAAUCCUUUCAAGAUGAGCAAGAUACCACGACAGGAAAGACUUACCUGAUCUGUAACACAGACCCUGCAACACCCUCAGUCCACCUCCGUUUCCUCAGGAUUCCUGGAAUCCAAUCCUUGUGUGACGGGAAUAGCAUGGAAGAAACGGAAUCUAAGAUUUUAAACUCGGCUUUGGAUCAUGCCUUAAAGACAGCAACCACAUUGAAAAAAACCACUGACCAAAUGAUUAAAUCCAUUGGAGAAGACCUCGCCAAAGCACAGCGAUGGAGGCACCAACUAAAACACUGCUAGCGCCAGGCAAGGGACCAAGGGUUAAAAUGUUUGGUCUUCUUCUCCAAAGUAUUUUACUUAAGGCACAAUGUAGGAAAAUGGCCCUCUAGAGAAAACACUAAAACUGUGAGAAUGAACCACACCAAGUGAUUAAAUGAAACAAAACAAAAACAAAAAACAAACAGCCCUCUGGCAUUUAUGUAUUUAUGUGAAAUAAAUCUAUGUUCUUCCUAAUUCACAAUAAAAUAACAACAAUAAAACAAAU
rnacentral:lncRNA from 1 species